UAUAUACUUCCUCCGUCCGAAUUUUUUUGUCUUAGAUUCGUCUAGAUAUGGAUAUAUAUGAUACUAAAAUAUGAAUUGAUACAUCUGUAUUUAAACAAAUUUAAGACAAAAAUUUCCGGAGGGAGUAUAUA
rfam:Triticum urartu cultivar G1812 contig664700, whole genome shotgun sequence.